rnacentral:rRNA from 1 species
UUGGAGGGCAAGUCUGGUGCCAGCAGCCGCGGUAAUUCCAGCUCCAAUAGCGUAUAUUAAAGUUGUUGCAGUUAAAAAGCUCGUAGUUGAAUUUCGGGAUCAAUGUUUCGGUCAUGCCGUUGGUAUGUACUGAUAUUAUUGGUUUCUCACCUUCUAAAGAACCGUAAUGCCAUUAGUUUGGUGUCACGGGGAAUUAGGACUGUUACCUUGAAAAAAUUAGAGUGUUUAAAGCAGGCUCACGCUUGAAUACAUUAGCAUGGAAUAAUGAAAUAGGACAUCCGAUUCUAUUUUGUUGGUUUCUAGGAUCGAUGUAAUGAUUAAUAGGGAUAGUUGGGGGCAUUAGUAUUCAAUUGUCAGAGGUGAAAUUCUUGGAUUUAUUGAAGACUAACUACUGCGAAAGCGUUUGCCAAGGAUGUUUUCAUUAAUCAAGAACGAAAGUUAGGGGAUCGAAGACGAUCAGAUACCGUCGUAGUCUUAACCAUAAACUAUGCCGACUAGGGAUCGGCGGAUGUUGCUUAUAGGACUCCGCCGGCACCUUAUGGGAAACCAAAGUGUUUGGGUUC